rnacentral:rRNA from 1 species
UGCUUAUCUUACCUGCCGUUUAGUGGGGGAUAAAAUACCGCAUAUUCUGGUUUCGACCAGGAAAGGACUUCGGUUCGCUAAAUGAUGGGGAUAAGGCGUAUUAGUUUGUUGGUGGGGUAAAGGCCUACCAAGACCAAGAUGCGUAGCCAAACUGAGAGGUUGAAUGGCCACAGGGAAACUGAGACACGGUUCCCACUCCUACGGGAGGCAGCAGUGAGGAAUAUUCCGCAAUGGGCGAAAGCCUGACGGAGCGAUGCUACGUGAAGGAUGAAGGUCUACGGAUUGUAAACUUCUUUACUUGGAUGUACUCCUUAAAACUUGCAUCCGAGCAAAAAGUCACGACUAACUAUGUGCCAGCAGUCGCGGUAAGACAUAGGUGGCGAACGUUAUCCGGAAUUAUUGGGCGUAAAGGAUGCGUAGAUGGUAGAAUAAGUUAUUGGUUGAUACCAAACUCAAUUUGGUGGAGGCUGGUAAUACUGUUCGGCUAGAGGGCAGGAGAAGUUGAUGGAAUUCUGUGUGGAGCGGUGAAAUGCGUUGAUCUACAGAGGAACACCAAAAAAGGCGAAGGCAGUCAACUAUUCUGUUCCUGACAUUGAGGCAUGAAAGCGUGGGGAGCAAACCGGAUUAGAUACCCGGGUAGUCCACGCCCUAAACGAUGAGCAUUAGAUAUUGGGCAUUUUGCUUUGUGUCCCAGCUAACGCUUUAAAUGCUCCGCCUGAGUACUACGGUCGCAAGGCUAAAACUCAAAGGAAUUGACGGGGACCCGCACAAGCGGUGGAGCAUGUGGUUUAAUUCGAUACGACGCGCAGAACCUUACCAAGGUUUGACAUGGAGGGCAAAGUUGAAGAAACUCAACGGAGGUUAUCCCGACACAGGUGGUGCAUGGUCGUCGUCAGUUCGUGCUGUGAAGCGUACGCUUAAGUGCUAGAACGAACGCAACCCUCAUAUUUAGUUGCUAUCAUUUAGUUGAGAACUCUAAAUAGACUGCUAAGAUAACUUAGAGGAAGGAGAGGAUCACGUCUGAUCAUC